rnacentral:rRNA from 1 species
AGAGUUUGAUCAUGGCUCAGGAUGAACGCUGGCGGCGUGCCUAAUACAUGCAAGUCGAGCGGUAACACUUCGGGUGACGAGCGGCGGACGGCUGAGUAACGCGUAGGAACGUACCCCAGAGUGAGGGAUAAGCACCGGAAACGGUGUCUAAUACCGCAUAAUCUCUUAGGAGCAAAGCUUCGGCGCUUUGGGAACGGCCUGCGUAUGAUUAGCUUGUUGGUAAGGUAAUGGCUUACCAAGGCGACGAUCAUUAGCUGGUCUGAGAGGAUGAUCAGCCAGACUGGGACUGAGACACGGCCCAGACUCCUACGGGAGGCAGCAGUAGGGAAUUUUCCACAAUGGGCGAAAGCCUGAUGGAGCAACGCCGCGUGCAGGAUGAAGGCCUUAGGGUCGUAAACUGCUUUUGUUAGUGACGAUUAUGACGGUAGCUAACGAAUAAGGGUCUGCUAACUACGUGCCAGCAGCCGCGGUCAUACGUAGGACCCAAGCGUUAUCCGGAAUUACUGGGCGUAAAGAGUUGCGUAGGUGGCAUAGUAAGUUGGUAGUGAAAGCGUGUGGCUCAACCAUACACACAUUACCAAAACUACUAAGCUAGAGGACAAGAGAGGUCACUGGAAUUCCUAGUGUAGGAGUGAAAUCCGUAGAUAUUAGGAGGAACACCGAUGGCGUAGGCAGGUGACUGGCUUGUUCCUGACACUAAGGCACGAAAGCGUGGGGAGCGAACCGGAUUAGAUACCCUAGUAGUCC